rnacentral:ncRNA from 2 species
AAGUUGUUGCAGUUAAAAAGCUCGUAGUUGGAUCUUGGGUCGGGGGGAGCGGUCCGCCCCUUGUGGGUGUGCACUGGUCCACUCGGCCUUCUUGCCGGGGACGCGCUCCUGGUUUUAAUUAAUCGGGACGCGGAGUCGGCGAUGUUACUUUGAAAAAAUUAGAGUGCUCAAAGCAAGCCUAUGCUCUGAAUACAUUAGCAUGGAAUAACGUGAUAGGACUCUGGUCCUGUUCGUGUUGGUCUUCGGGACCGGAGUAAUGAUUAAUAGGGACGGUUGGGGGCAUUCGUAUUUCAUUGUCAGAGGUGAAAUUCUUGGAUUUAUGAAAGACGAACUUCUGCGAAAGCAUUUGCCAAGGAUGUUUUCAUUAAUCAAGAACGAAAGUUGGGGGCUCGAAGACGAUCAGAUACCGUCCUAGUCUCAACCAUAAACGAUGCCGACUAGGGAUUGGCGGAUGUUACUUUGAUGACUCCGCCAGCACCUUAUGAGAAAUCAAAGUUUUUGGGUUCCG